rnacentral:lncRNA from 10 species
GAUUUUAUUGAACCCUGGUAUGGCCAUGCUUUGGGUGGGUGCGUUAUCCAGAACAGAACAGAAUGAUGGACCUGUAGGGUGAAGGGGCUGUUGUAAGUUGGUCCCUCACUGUUAAGUCUGUUCUGCAGGUUAAACUCACAUCGAUGGCGCCAAAAUGAUUUGCAAGGGAAUUCUUGCCCCUCCCUUUUUUGGCUAGAAAAAGUCACUGUUGAAUAAGUAUGUUUUCUGUGACGACACCACCAUUACGUAUUUCCAUAGAAGGAAAAUAAAACCAGAUUGAUUACAUCCAGUUUCUUCCAGUGCAUUUUUCCCAUGAGUCUGAACUUUUUAAAACCAAAGCAAACUUGUUAUUUCUAAAGCAGCACUGCUGCAGUAUUUCUAAAUAUAAACUGUUUAUUUAGCAUCUGAAGCAGGCUUGGGAAAAAGGGCCACAAACGUUCCUUAUUUUAUUUAUGUAUUUUUUUUGAGACGGAGUCUCGCUCUGUCACCCAGGCUGGAGUGCAGUGGCACGAUCUUGGCGCACUGCAACCUCUGCUUCCUGGGUUCAGACGAUUCUCCUGCCUCAGCCUCCCGAGUGGCUGGGACUACAGGCGCCCGCCACCAUGCCCAGAUAAUUUUUUGUACUUUUAGGAGAGACAGGGUUUCACCAUGUCAGCCAGGCUGGUUUUACACUCCUGACCUCAAAUGAUCCACCCGCCUUGGCCUCCCAAAGUGCUGGGAUUACAGGCGUGAGCCACCGCGCCCGGCCAAAAGUUCCUCUCUUAAGCAAGCUGGGCACGAAGUAGCCGGCAACCAAAAGCAGCUAAGGGCUACAACUUUAAAAAAUGGUUUAUUUUUUUCUUUAACAAAAUCGUACAGCUUUCUCAAUCCCCAAAUUAAAAAAACAGAAAACAGGAAGAAAGGGAAGAAGGCAAAGCUUUUCAGCGAUUUCAUUAAUAUUUCAUUACGCUGAGAU